rnacentral:lncRNA from 1 species
UGAUGUGAGUGGUAUUUUUGCUCUGUUCAUCUUGUGAGGGGCAUUUUUACUCUGUUCGAAGAUAUGAGCAACAUUUUUGCUCUACUCGCUAACGUGAGUGAUAUUUUUGCUCUCCUCAAAGAUACGAGUGAUAUUUUUGCUUUGCUCACUGAUGCGAGUGAUAUUUUUGCUUUGUUCUUUUUGUAAGCGGUAUUUUUGCUCUACUCAUGAUUGUAGAUCGAGGAUCCUUUUGGUUAGCCCUCUGAAUAUUUUUUUUGGUUAGUCUUCACUUGUUG